UAAGUUAAAUACUAAAUCAAGUGAACGAUCAAUUUUUUCAAUUUGGUGUGCUUUUCCUAUUUUCCUUUAAUACUCCUUUGUGAAGUUAUUUUACAUGGCGAUUAUCACUCAUUCACGUUUUCUUAUGUAAACCUCUUUUGUGGAUGUAAAUUAACCUUUCAUAAUUUGUUUAAGCCUCUCAUUUGUUAAUAGAAAAAUAUUUAUUUGAACACAAUUGGCUUACAAGGAAAGGUUAUGAGCGACUUUAUGAGGAAGAACUUCAGUAAUGUUUUCCACAUCAAGAAGAAUUGGAUAGAGCAAGGUUUUUGAACCACCACAAAAAAAGUUAAGAUUAGCUAUGAACUUUGUCACUAAUCCGUCACUAAAUUGCUCUUAGCUAGCAAACUAUUUUGAUAAUUUUGUUGUUUAGCUACAAAAUUUGCCCAUCGCUAAUUCUUUUUUAAGAUAAUGAUGUUAGACAAGUUGUUAAGGUAGUUGGAUUGGACUAUCAAUUAGGUGAAACAAGUGAAUGGAUUGAAAGUUUUAAGCACAAAAAGAGAACUUUGAGCUGAGACAAGCUCAAGGCUCUAUUAAUUUGAAAAACCAAUGUGAGAAGGGUGAGAUAAGGUGCUGAAUCUAUUUCAUGUCCCAUUGCAAAGUAAAAACACAAAAAGAAGAAGAGUGGAAAAAACAAUGAAUAUUUAACCUUAUUAGCAACCCAAAUAAAGCAUUUUAAUAAAAUAGUAAUACUUCUUUUUAUUACUUAAUUUUGCACUUCUAAAAGAAUAUGGCCACAUAUUAUAAAACCAUGGAUUUUCCAUUCUAUCUUCUUUCACAGCCGCCAACCUCUCUCAUGUCUUCAUCAUAGUUCCUUCUUCAUCUCUCAUCUCUUCCCUCUCUCUUCACCAUCUCCAAUAUUGAAGAUCCACAGUAGUUUUUUCGUCAUGUAAUUCAACCACGCCUUACCAAAUCUUUAUGGCUUGUGGGUUCGUCUUGAAAAUGGGCAAGUAAGAUAGGACGGAGGGUACAAAAGAAAACACAAAAAAACUUUUGAGAGAAAUUCUCUUAAAGGAUAUGAUAAGCUAGGAAGUUCACCCUAACACUCACAAGUCACAAAUACACAAAACCUCUUAUAAGCUAGGAAGUUCACCCUAACACUCACAAGUCACAAAUACACAAAACCUCGUACUAACCUUUUCCAUAGAAAAAUCAAACUUUAUAGACUGCAAAAUUUUCACCCCCAAAUGGACUCCAAGGGAGAUGAAACCUCCCAUCAACGCCCAAAAUGGAACAAACCCUCAAGCCAUUCUCAAUUUUUAUCCACCUCAAUGCAAGAAUCUUCAAGGUUGACGAUUCCCACCCAUGUACCAAACUCAUAACUGAUUUUUUUUUUGAGAAAGGUAACAUUACUUCUAUAUAUCCACAAGUAUACUACACCAAAAUGUAUAGUUCCCCUACAAAAGUAUUACAACUUACAUCUUGUGGUUCAAGUUAUCCUUACAAAAGUCUAAAACAUCAAAAAUGUCUUUUGUUUGAGUUAAUAGUUAUGCUCACACCAAAAAUAAAAUAGGCCUAAGUAAUUCAUCUUAAGAAUCUGUAAGCUGCUUCUUACUCCUUCAAAACACUUCUUGUUCCUCUCAAUACAAACUGACCACCAAAUACAAGCCAGGACAAUCUUCCAUCUCUCCUCCUUACUUACCAUGCCAUCCUUGUUCCAUCAUCUUAGGAUACCCGCUAUGCUUCCAGGUUUCACCCAUCUGAUCCCUUUUAGGCAUAUUAACAUCCUUUAUAGUUGGUCUUGGUCUGUCCACUUGCAAUGCAAAAAAAGAUGGUUGAUUGUCUCAGUUUGUUCCCCACUCAUAACUGAAAUCUUCUUAAAGUUACUAGUGAAAUCCCUCCAUCGACUCGGGUGUGUUUCAAAAUCUUGGCUUGCUUUAAUCUUUGUCCAUGAAUUUAUCAAGACUCAUCUUAGCUUAUCAACUAAUAAUGAAGACUACAACCACAAUAAGCUUUUGUGUAUUUUUGCCAUCCUUAAAACAAUCUUAAGGCUUGUUCUGUUAAGUCUUUACUUUGUGGGUCUAUUGUUGAGGCAUGACUUAGAUUAUCCCUGCAAAUCUUUCGAGAUUGUGGAAUCUUUCAAUAGAUUGUUUUGUCUUACCGAUAGGGAAAAAGAAUUGUUUCUAUGAAACCCAACAAUUAGAAAGUGCGCGAAUUGCCUGAUUCUAGGCCAAGGUUGAAGAAUACUGUUUCAUAUAUGGUUUUGAAUUUGAUGAGUUCCAUGACGAUUAUAAGGUUGUCGGGAAGCUUCAUUGGGAUACUACUGAUGGUCUUAAUGGGAAUAAUGGUUCGAGGACUUGGGACAUCAUUUCUAUAUGGUAUGGCUGAUGGGAAAAGGUAGACGAACCUCCUUGUGUAGGAGGAGAUUUUGGUUUGAGGCUAGGAGUGUUGGAUAAUGAUCCUUCGGUACUCUGUAAUUACCCCAGAAUUCCCAAAAAUUUGUGGGUUAUGAACAAGUAUGGGGUUUAGGAGUCUUGGGGAAAAAUGUAUACCAUCAAAUGUCUCAUCCUUGAUAUGUUCGUUCCAUUCUUUUGUAUGUCAAAUAUUAUACUCUUGUCGGGCAUCUAACAGUGAAAUGUGAUGUCUAUAAAGCUUUGGGUGGUUUUCCUUGAAAUACUGACCGGCUGAAGAGCCACAUACAAGAGAAGAUCAAGGAAUGAACAUAACUUAGUGGCAUGAGAAAAAUCAUAUCUUGCAGAUAGACAUCAUUUUUGUCAGAUUAUAGAUCCUCGUCUCGGAGGCCACUCCUCAAAGAAAGGAGCAUUUAGGUCCACUGAGAUUGUUGUUUGCUUCCUUAGAAUAAAUGCAAAAUCUAGACCUCAAAUGAGUCAAGUUCUGGAAAUGUUGAUGCUUCUGCCUUCAACGAGUUAAAUUGGCCCCACUCCUAGCAUUUAAAUUAAAGAUGUUGGUGUCAAAUUUUAAAUUAAGUUUGUGGGUUAUGAAGGAGUAUGGAGUUAAGGCGUCAAAACUAGGUUAUCCUAGAUUUAUCAUGGUAUUAGGGAAUACCCUCAACCAAAUAUAGAUUUAAUCCCAAAUUUUAUGAGUUGACACCAACAUCUUUAAUUUCAAUGCUAGGAGUGGAGGCAAUAUAACUCAUUGAAGGCAGAAGCAUUAGCAUUUCCAGAACAGAACUCAUUUGAGGUCUGGAUUUUGCAUUUAUUUUAAGGCAGCAAACAACAAAUAUUUGCUUUUGUCUUUGUUUAUUCUAUUAUUAGUUCUAUUGUUCCGAUCCGCUUGUGUUUCAGGAAAUCAAACCGAAGUCAAUUCAUUCAACAAGAUCUGUUCGGAUCAGAUCUACCAGCGACCGGUUUACGGAACAAGGAGUUAAGCAUCAAUAAGAAGGAAGAGUGGGAUGCGGCAUUACUAGUACCAACUGGAACGGAAUGGAAUGACUGAGAAUACCACAUUCCCCUCUGUUCUUCUUCUGGUCCGUAAAAAAAGCUAUCAGUGGACCUAAAUGCUCCUUUCUUUGAGAAGUGGCCUCCGAGACGAGGAUCUAUAAUCUGACAAAAUGAUGCCUAUCUGCAAGAUAUGAUUUUUCUCAUGCCACUAAGUUAUGUUCAUUCCUUGAUCUUCUCUUGUCCGUGGCUCUUCGGCCGGCCAGUAUUUCAAGGAAAACCACCCAAAGCUUUAUAGACAUUACUUUUCACUGUCAGAUGUCUUGCAAGAGUAUAAUAAGGUUGCUUGUGUUUGGAUCAACUUCAAUAAUAUACAAUCCAAAGGAUGACACAAUCAAAUAUGCAGGAAUUACUAACUUUGAUUCCUGUAGUGAGACUGAAAUCUACAUUGAAGACCUUGUUUGCCCCAUUUUACACACAAAAAAGAUUGCCAAGGAUACAGUCAGAAUGAAGGCUGCAAAAACUUAAAAGUCAGAUGACUGACGAUCAUGUACCAGAUUUAGGAAGUGGCGAUCCCUCACCAAUUGGUUCAAGAAGAUCAUCAGACUGAUAGGAAUGAUGCAGAUCGAGUGAGUGGCGUGCUAGUUAGUAAUGGAAAUGAUUGCAUUGCAAAAGACCAUUUCUCCUCGAGACGAGGUCAGAGCAUCUAUGCUAAUUUACACGAAGCUAUUUAUUGAUGUCGAUUUGGAUAUGUUUGUUGCCUGGGAACUGGUCUUAUUAUCCAUUUCCCCCUCUUACAUAAUCAAGAGGUCUCCUGUUGUAAGCUUUCAUAAUCUUUCUUGGGUGUCAGAUGGAUGGGUUGGACUAAUUUCCACCUCGACUUUGAAUUAUUGUAACAUGUCUAAUUAUUGUCGAAAUGACAAUAACAUAUUCAGUGUAA